AUGCGGUCCAGAUAGCCAUGCAUGUCUCAGUAUAAGCUUCUAUACGGCGAAACUGCGAAUGGCUCAUUAAAACAGUUAUAGUUUAUUUGGUGGUCAGCAAUUACAUGGAUAACCGUGGUAAUUCUAGAGCUAAUACAUGCGCCCAAACCCGACUUCGUGGAAGGGUUGUGUUUAUUAGAUACAGAACCAACCCAGGCUCCGCCUGGCCUUGAGGUGAUUCAUAAUAACCGAACGAAUCGCAUGGCUAUGCCGGCGAUAGACCAUUCAAGUUUCUGACCUAUCAGCUAUCGUCGGUAGGGUAUUGGCCUACCGUGGCAAUGACGGGUAACGGAGAAUUAGGGUUCGAUUCCGGAGAGGGAGCCUGAGAAACGGCUACCACAUCUAAGGAAGGCAGCAGGCGCGCAAAUUACCCAAUCCUGACGCAGGGAGGUAGUGACAAGAAAUAACAAUACAGGGCAUACAUGUCUUGUAAUUGGAAUGAGUAAACUUUAAAUCACUUU
rnacentral:rRNA from 1 species